CGCGGCAAUGCCGGAGGUUGUACUGGUCGGCGUCGUCGACGCCGAUGCCGCGACUGCGCGCGCCAUCGCCGCAGAGCAUGGCUGCAAGGCGUGG
rnacentral:tRNA from 1 species